GGGAAUGAGAGACUUUAACCAGUCUCUUGAGAGAAUUAAAAUCUGGGUGUCUAUGCCAUUUUAUUACACACUAGUUGCAUGUCUAUAGAAGGAUGAUUUGAUUAAAUAUAAAAUACAACUUUCAACAACGGAUCUCUUGGCUCUCGCAUCGAUGAAGAACGCAGCGAAAUGCGAUAAGUAAUGUGAAUUGCAGAAUUCAGUGAAUCAUCGAAUCUUUGAACGCACCUUGCGCUCCUUGGCAUUCUGAGGAGCAUGCCUGUUUGAGUGUCAUUAACAUCUCAAGACCUGUCUGCUUUUGAUAGGUAUUGGAUUUUUGGGGGUUGCAGGCUGUUUCAGAUAGCUUGCUCUCCUUGAAUGUAUUAGUGGAGAAAGAGCCAUUGAACUCCAUUGGUGUGAUAAAAUCUAUCAAUGCCAGGAGCCAUGUUAGUUUUCUCUGCUGUCUAACUCUAACAGUUGUCUGUAUGAAAUGGACAACUCAAUCUAACUUGACCUCAAAUCAGGUAGGACUACCCGCUGAACUUAAGCAUAUCUAUAAGCGGAGGAAAAGAAACUAACAAGGAUUCCUCUAGUAACUGCGAGUGAAGCGGGAGAAGCUCAAAUUUAAUAUCUGGCA
rnacentral:rRNA from 1 species